CCUACGGGAGGCAGCAGUGAGGAAUAUUGGUCAAUGGGCGCGAGCCUGAACCAGCCAAGUCGCGUGAGGGAAGACGGUCCUAUGGAUUGUAAACCUCUUUUGUCGGGGAGCAAAAGACGCCACGCGUGGCGUUCCGAGAGUACCCGAAGAAAAAGCAUCGGCUAACUCCGUGCCAGCAGCCGCGGUAAUACGGAGGAUUCGAGAGUUAUCCGGAUGUAUUGGGUGUAAAGGGUGCGCAGGCGGAAGAUCAAGUCAGCGGUAAAAUUGAGAGGCUCAACCUCUUCGAGCCGUUGAAACUGGUUUUCUUGAGUGAGCGAGAAGUAUGCGGAAUGCGUGGUGUAGCGGUGAAAUGCAUAGAUAUCACGCAGAACUCCGAUUGUGAAGGCAGCAUACCGGCGCUCAACUGACGCUCAUGCACGAAAGUGUGGGUAUCGAACAGGAUUAGAUACCCUUGUAGUC
rnacentral:rRNA from 1 species